AUCGGUUAAUACCCGGUUUAUUUGACAAAGGCCCCAAAGGAAGCCACGGCUAACUCUGUGCCAGCAGCCGCGGUAAUACAGAGGUGGCAAGCGUUGUUCGGUAUUAUUGGGCGUAAAGAGCACGUAGGUGGUUUUGUAAGUCAGAUGUGAAAGCCUUCUGUUCAAAGGAAGAACGGCAUCUGAAACUACAGAUCUUGAGUGUAGGAGGGGAGAGUGGAAC
rnacentral:rRNA from 1 species